rnacentral:rRNA from 1 species
GUAAGAUGCCAUCCUAUCAGUUAGUAAGUAGGGUAAGGGCCUACUUAGACGAAGACGGGUACGGGGAAUGAGGGUUUGAUUCCGGAGAGGGAGCCUGAGAGAUGGCUACCAGGACCAAGGUCAGCAGCAGGCGCGAAAAUUAUCGAAGCCCGCCUAGGGGCGAUAGUGAGGAGACGUGUAUACGAAGUACGUGUAAAGACCGUACUAAUAACUGGAGGUCAAGUCUGGUGCCAGCAUCCGCGGUAAUUCCAGCUCCAGGGGUGUCUAUGAUGAUUGCUGCGAUUAAAAAGUCCGUAGUCGAGCUGACUGACUGACCUGCAGUGUGGUUGAUUAAAAGACGAGCAGGGUUAGGAAAGCAGAGAAUUAAGAGCGACCGAGGGCUAGAGUAUUGAAUGGCGAGAGGUGAAAUUUGAUGACCCAUUCAAGAGUGACAAAGGCGAAGGCACUAGUCAAGGGCGAAUCCGAUGAUCAAGGACGUACGCUAGAGUUUCGAAAACGAUUAGAGACCGGAGUAGUUCUAGCAGUAAACUAUGCCGACACCGUGGUA